rnacentral:rRNA from 1 species
CCAGACUCCUACGGGAGGCAGCAGUGGGGAAUAUUGGACAAUGGGGGGAACCCUGAUCCAGCGACGCCGCGUGAGUGAAGAAGUAUUUCGGUAUGUAAAGCUCUAUCAGCAGGGAAGAAAAUGACGGUACCUGACUAAGAAGCCCCGGCUAACUACGUGCCAGCAGCCGCGGUAAUACGUAGGGGGCAAGCGUUAUCCGGAUUUACUGGGUGUAAAGGGAGCGUAGACGGCAUGGCAAGUCAGAUGUGAAAGCCCGGGGCUCAACCCCGGGACUGCAUUUGAAACUGUCAGGCUGGAGUGCAGGAGGGGCAGGCGGAAUUCCUAGUGUAGCGGUGAAAUGCGUAGAUAUUAGGAGGAACACCAGUGGCGAAGGCGGCCUGCUGGACUGCAACUGACGUUGAGGCUCGAAGGCGUGGGGAGCAAACAGGAUUAGAUACCCUCGUAC